UACGUAGGGGGCAAGCGUUGUCCGGAUUUAUUGGGCGUAAAGCGCGUGUAGGCGGCUUUGCAAGUCGGGUGUGAAAUCCCUCAGCUCAACUGAGGAAGUGCGCCCGAAACUGCAGAGCUUGAGUACCGGAGAGGAUGGCGGAAUUCCCCAAGUAGAGGUGAAAUUCGUAGAUAUGGGGAGGAACACCGGUGGCGAAGGCGGCCAUCUGGACGGAUACUGACGCUGAGACGCGAAAGCGUGGGGAGCAAACAGG
rnacentral:rRNA from 1 species